rnacentral:lncRNA from 1 species
AUUGAAAAGUUGAACUUAGUUAUCAAGGAGCUCGUUAAGGAAAAUGAUGAAGAAAAAGAAAGGCGAAAUGGAAUUAUUGCUGGGUUGUUGGCUGAAAAGAAAAAAGAUAAGGUGGAUAAAGAUGCUAUGCUCGAUACGAUGCCACAAAUUGAAGCUAUGUUAACAAUUAUUUCAUGUUUUAGCUGAUAUUUCUAUUAGAAUGUUUUAUAUGCUUUUGAUACACAUAUGUUUUAUAUAAUUUUGGGUUUUCGUGAU